UACAGAGGUCCCAAGCGUUGUUCGGAUUCACUGGGCGUAAAGCGUGUGUAGGCGGAUGCCUAAGUACCUUGUGAAAUCCCACAGCUCAACUGUGGAACUGCUUGGUAUACUGGGUGUCUUGAGCCACUUAGGGGUUACCGGAACAUAUGGUGGAGCGGUGAAAUGCGUAGAUAUCAGUUGGAACGCCAAUGGUGAAAACAGGUAACUGGGAGUGUGCUGACGCUGAGACACGAAAGCCAGGGGAGCGAACGGG
rnacentral:rRNA from 1 species